UUUAUCAUCCUGUUGGCUUUCGUUGCCUUCGCUGCGUCGGAUUCGCGUCUGUCUUCCUUCUACGGGGUCCCCCAGGUGUCAAGGGAGUCUUCUGAAAGUUCAUCAGAGAGUCGAGGAUCGUAUCGUAUUAACGAUAGAUCUGAUGAAGAUUCUGCUGAGUAUGGACCUGCAAAGUACGACUUCGACUGGGCCGUGAAGCACGACUACUCAGGCAACCACUUCGGCCACCAGGAGUCCCGCGACGGAGACUACACCCAAGGCUCGUACUACGUGCAGCUUCCCGACACUCGCUUGCAGACUGUCAAGUACUACGUGGACGGCGACUCUGGCUUCGUGGCCGAAGUGGAGUACGAGGGCGAGGCUCAGCAUCCUGAUUCCGAGGAGUAUCGAGUGUCUCAAGGCCGAUACUCAGCCCAAGACUCAGGCGAGGACUCGUCCGAAACGCUCGUUCGAGCCCCUUCAAGAUUUUAUGGUUCACCUUUGUAAAGUUAAGACGAAGAGGAUGGAUCUCGUUACGACGACCGUGAUUCAGUAUGGAGAUUAUGUGAAUUUAACUUAUAUAUUUAAUUGUAAUAAAAUUGUACGUGCACAGUAA